rnacentral:rRNA from 1 species
UACGAAGGGGGCUAGCGUUGCUCGGAAUCACUGGGCGUAAAGCGCACGUAGGCGGCUUUGUAAGUUAGAGGUGAAAGCCCGGGGCUCAACUCCGGAAUUGCCUUUAAGACUGCAUCGCUUGAACGUCGGAGAGGUGAGUGGAAUUCCGAGUGUAGAGGUGAAAUUCGUAGAUAUUCGGAAGAACACCAGUGGCGAAGGCGGCUCACUGGACGACUGUUGACGCUGAGGUGCGAAAGCGUGGGGAGCAAACAGG